UACGUAGGGUCCGAGCGUUGUCCGGAAUUACUGGGCGUAAAGAGCUCGUAGGUGGUUUGUCGCGUUGUUCGUGAAAACUCACAGCUUAACUGUGGGCGUGCGGGCGAUACGGGCAGACUGGAGUACUGUAGGGGAGACUGGAAUUCCUGGUGUAGCGGUGAAAUGCGCAGAUAUCAGGAGGAACACCGAUGGCGAAGGCAGGUCUCUGGGCAUUAACUGACGCUGAGGAGCGAAAGCAUGGGGAGCGAACAGG
rnacentral:rRNA from 1 species